GCGUGUUUCUUAAAUGUCUUAUUAACACCUUCCACAUUGCAAUUGAUCUCGUUCCAGCACACGAUCUAAGAUCAGGUCGCUUGCUAUGCAAAUAUAUCUCCGUAAUAUAAUGUAAUAUAAUAUCUAUAUUAUAUAAGUAUAUA